GUAGGGAAUAUUGGUCAAUGGACGAAAGUCUGAACCAGCCAUUCCGCGUGCAGGAAGAAGAUUCUAUGGAUUGUAAACUGCUUUUAGCAGAGAAGAAACGCCUUCAUUGAUGAGGGUUUGACGGUAUCUGCGGAAUAAGCACCGGCUAACUCCGUGCCAGCAGCCGCGGUAAUAUGGGGGGUGCAAGCGUUAUCCGGAAUCACUGGGUUUAAAGGGUGCGUAGGCGGGAAAUUAAGUCAGUGGUGAAAGUCUGUUGCUUAACGAUAGAAUUGCCGUUGAUACUGAUUUUCUUGAAUUGGGUUGAGGUUAGCGGAAUGUGACAUGUAGCGGUGAAAUGCAUAGAUAUGUCAUGGAACACCAAUUGCAAAGGCAGCUAGCUGGGCCUUGAUUGACGCUGAGGCACGAAAGCGUGGGUAGCGAACAGGAUUAGAAACCCUUGAAGUCC
rnacentral:rRNA from 1 species